UACGGAGGGGGCUAGCGUUGUUCGGAAUUACUGGGCGUAAAGCGCACGUAGGCGGCUUUGUAAGUUAGAGGUGAAAGCCCAGGGCUCAACCCUGGAAUUGCCUUUAAGACUGCAUCGCUUGAAUCAUGGAGAGGUGAGUGGAAUUCCGAGUGUAGAGGUGAAAUUCGUAGAUAUUCGGAAGAACACCAGUGGCGAAGGCGACUCACUGGACAUGUAUUGACGCUCAUGCACGAAAGCGUGGGGAGCAAACAGG
rnacentral:rRNA from 1 species